rnacentral:lncRNA from 1 species
UAUGAUUCUCCAAUCCAAUCUAUUAUAUGUGGUAAGGUGGGAUGAAAAGACAAGGAAAUUAAACACAAGGACGAGAAGACAGAUAAGGACUUCACCACCUUCACCUUGGAUCGAUCACAAGCGAUCUACCAAGCAACCCCUAUCAACCUUUACAUGUAAGAAACUAACCCACGCAACUGUAAACCCUAUCAGAUCUGACUGACUGACUGCACCUCGAUCUCACAUGUCGUCGUCCGGGGUGUGACGCCUUUGCCUCUUGGCACGUCGCGGUGGUGGCUCCUCUCUCCGCUGAAACAACUGCUCCAUUUCUUUGGCUCCCACCACGAUGAGCUCUACCUGCGGCUGCCACCGCGGCCGCCGCCGCCUGCAGACGGCGACCCUCCUGCGCUUCCUCGGCGCAGGCGGGCAGUUCAAGGGAAGCGACGGUAGCUUACUCUCCUCCGACGUCGGAGUUCGGCACUCCUCUUCAUCGCCAUGAUCACCACCACCCUCUUCUGAUCUUACUGUCUCGACGGGCCUCAACGUCGCCGCACUGGUUAGCUCCGGCGAAGCUGACAUCUUUGUUAGCAAGCAGGAGGCUUGCAAGAGAAGGUAGGGUGUCGGAGAAGAGUCGUUCCUUGGCCUCUUGCUCAUCUGAUCGGUACGAGUAACACAACCAUAUAUGUAUAUAUAUAUAUAUUGUCUUCUUUUCCCUUCUCUCUCUCUCUCUCUCUCAUAUUCAUACAGUACUUUUUACGUUACAGGUUCUUCUGGGGAUGCUUAGUUCCAAGAUGAUCUCCUCACCUUUUUACUUUUGCUGCAUGGGGGGGCCCUUUGGAAGGUAUCUUAUCUUCGAUUCGCUCUGCAACAGAGGGCAAUGUGAUGGGGUUGGAUGCUGUCACCAGAGAACGAUCAUCUUACCGGUCAAAAGGAGGAAACGUGGGUAGGAUGAGAGGUAGAGGAACCUAAGACGCGGUAUUGGCACCCGAGGGGACUAAACCCCUUUAUCAUAGGAUACCUUCUUGGGUUAAGGAGCAUGUAGACAGGGGUGGGUGGUGCUGUGGGACCCGGCCGGUAGAACAACCCGCAUUGGAUGCUGUGUAGGCUGGUAAAUGCCGUGCGUGACCCGACCAAGGUAAGGAAUUCACUGGGUUCAAAUAAAUUGCCACGCAUGCAGUGGCCAGAGGAGAAACAACCAAUCAUAGCCAUCCACCUAAAUCCAAAUUCGAAUCCAAUCUGGAUGUUUCUUUUGCUUUUCUAACCCGUGUC